rnacentral:rRNA from 1 species
CCUACGGGCGGCAGCAGUGAGGAAUAUUGGUCAAUGGGGGAAACCCUGAUGCAGCGACGCCGCGUGAGCGAUGAAGUAUUUCGGUAUGUAAAGCUCUAUCAGCAGGGAAGAAAAUGACGGUACCUGACUAAGAAGCCCCGGCUAACUACGUGCCAGCAGCCGCGGUAAUACGUAGGGGGCAAGCGUUAUCCGGAUUGACUGGGUGUAAAGGGAGCGUAGACGGCGGUGCAAGCCAGAUGUGAAAGCCUGGGGCUCAACCCCGGGACUGCAUUUGGAACUGUGCUGCUGGAGUGUCGGAGAGGCAGGCGGAAUUCCUAGUGUAGCGGUGAAAUGCGUAGAUAUUAGGAGGAACACCAGUGGCGAAGGCGGCCUGCUGGACGAUGACUGACGUUGAGGCUCGAAAGCGUGGGGAGCAAACAGGAGUAGAUACCCGAGUAGUC